AUGAACGCUAGCUACAGGCUUAACACAUGCAAGUCGAGGGGAAACGAUAGAGAAAGCUUGCUUUUUCUAGGCGUCGACCGGCGCACGGGUGAGUAACGCGUAUCCAACCUGCCCACCACUUGGGGAUAACCUUGCGAAAGUAAGACUAAUACCCAAUGAUAUCUCUAGAGGACAUCUGAAAGGGAUUAAAGAUUUAUCGGUGAUGGAUGGGGAUGCGUCUGAUUAGCUUGUUGGCGGGGUAACGGCCCACCAAGGCGACGAUCAGUAGGGGUUCUGAGAGGAAGGUCCCCCACAUUGGAACUGAGACACGGUCCAAACUCCUACGGGAGGCAGCAGUGAGGAAUAUUGGUCAAUGGGCGAGAGCCUGAACCAGCCAAGUAGCGUGCAGGAUGACGGCCCUAUGGGUUGUAAACUGCUUUUAUAAGGGAAUAAAGUGAGAGUCGUGACUCUUUUUGCAUGUACCUUAUGAAUAAGGACCGGCUAAUUCCGUGCCAGCAGCCGCGGUAAUACGGAAGGUCCGGGCGUUAUCCGGAUUUAUUGGGUUUAAAGGGAGCGUAGGCCGGAGAUUAAGCGUGUUGUGAAAUGUAGAUGCUCAACAUCUGCACUGCAGCGCGAACUGGUUUCCUUGAGUACGCACAAAGUGGGCGGAAUUCGUGGUGUAGCGGUGAAAUGCUUAGAUAUCACGAAGAACUCCGAUUGCGAAGGCAGCUCACUGGAGCGCAACUGACGCUGAAGCUCGAAAGUGCGGGUAUCGAACAGGAUUAGAUACCCUGGUAGUCCGCACGGUAAACGAUGGAUGCCCGCUGUUGGUCUGAAUAGGUCAGCGGCCAAGCGAAAGCAUUAAGCAUCCCACCUGGGGAGUACGCCGGCAACGGUGCAACUCAAAUGAAUUGACGG
rnacentral:rRNA from 1 species